ensembl:misc_RNA Metazoa_SRP Metazoan signal recognition particle RNA
GCUGGGCAUGGUGGCGUGUGCCUGUAAUCCCAGCUACUUGGGAGGCUGAGGCAGGAGAAUCACUUGAACCCAGGAGGUGGAGGUUGCAGUGAGCCGGAAUCGUGCCACUGCACUCCAGCCUGGGUGACAGAGUGAGACUCUGUCUCAA